rnacentral:rRNA from 1 species
AACGAACGCUGGCGGCGGGCUUAACACAUGCAAGUCGAACGCACCGCAAGGUGAGUGGCAGACGGGUGAGUAACACGUGGGAUCUGCCCAAUGGUACGGAAUAGCUCCGGGAAACUGGAAUUAAUACCGUAUGAGCCCGCAAGGGGAAAGAUUUAUCGCCAUUGGAUGAACCCGCGUCGGAGUAGCUAGUUGGGGUGGUAAAGGCGCACCAAGGCGACGAUCCGUAGCUGGUCUGAGAGGAUGAUCAGCCACACUGGGACUGCGACACGGCCCAGACUCCUACGGGAGGCAGCAGUGGGGAAUAUUGGACAAUGGGCGCAAGCCUGAUCCAGCCAUGCCGCGUGAGUGAUGAAGGCCUUAGGGUUGUAAAGCUCUUUCGCCGACGAAGAUAAUGACGGUAGUCGGAGAAGAAGCCCCGGCUAACUUCGUGCCAGCCGCCGCUGUAAGAC